UCAAGUCCUCAUGGCCCUUAUGGGUAGGGCUUCACACGUCAUACAAUGGCCGGUACAGAGGGAAGCCAAGCCGCGAGGCGGAGCCAAUCCCCAUAAAAGCCGGUCGUAGUCCGGAUUGCAGUCUGCAACUCGACUGCAUGAAGUCGGAAUCGCUAGUAAUCGCGGAUCAGCAUGCCGCGGUGAAUACGUUCCCGGGUCUU
rnacentral:rRNA from 1 species